rnacentral:rRNA from 1 species
AAUCAACGCUGGCGGCGUGCCUCAGACAUGCAAGUCGAACGUUUAAACUUCCCUUCGGGGAAGAUAUAAAGUGGCGCACGGGUGAGUAACACGUAAGUAAUCUACCUUCGAGUGGGGAAUAACGUCCGGAAACGGACGCUAAUACCGCAUAAUGCAGCGGCACCUAAUGGUGACAGUUGUUAAAGGAGCAAUUCGCUUGAAGAGGAGCUUGCGGCAGAUUAGCUAGUUGGUAAGGUAAUGGCUUACCAAGGCUUCGAUCUGUAACCGGUCUAAGAGGACGGUCGGUCACACUGACACUGAAUAACGGGUCAGACUCCUACGGGAGGCAGCAGUCGGGAAUUUUGGGCAAUGGGCGAAAGCCUGACCCAGCAACGCCGCGUGAAGGAUGAAGUAUUUCGGUAUGUAAACUUCGAAAGAAUGGGAAGAAUAAAUGACGGUACCAUUUAUAAGGUCCGGCUAACUACGUGCCAGCCGCCGCGGUAAGAC